UCACCCGGGACGCGGCGGACGGCUCAGGACAACGGUUGCACCCCCCGCGGCGGUCCCUGCUAGCCGGACACCGCUGGCAACCCGGCGCCAAGACGUGCGCGCAAGGGCGGGCGCCCGCGGGCGAGCAGCGUGACGCAGCGACGGCCCGCCCGGGCUUCCGGGGCAUCACCCGGU
rnacentral:rRNA from 1 species